AGUCAUCUUUGAUCAUAUUUAUGAAGGGGGCUAAUCAUUCUGGCCACAACUGUACGUUGAGCUUUCUGUGGUUAUCAUUAGCCUACGUUUAAUAUUUAUAAGAAUUUAUUAGGUCUUUGAAAAAUAGCUAACACAAAAUCCUCAUAGAAUUAACAUCCACCUAAUCGUGCGUUAAAUAAUGUUUUAUAAAGCCAAUUUCUUGGUGUACUUUACAGACAAACUUUAAAUCUUACUAAUUCAUUCCAAAUGUUUAGGUAUAUGGCGCGUGCGCGAGUUCAUGAUCAAAAAUAGAGAUGCAGUAUGUUAGUCCACUGGUCAUAAAUCCAAAGGUGUUUUAGUUUUAUUUUGGUCUAUCUUUCUUUUUUCCGGGCUUGCAAACAAACUGCUUUGUAAUAAUUUCUCAAAAUUUCAGGAAAUAUUUACUUAGCCUGUCAACAGGACGUUAACACAGGCACACGCUGAACACGGACACAAAGAGGAGAACGGACGCGCCAGCAGAGAAAAUACUGCAUCAGCACAAGCUCACUGUUCGCGAAAUAUAGGAAGAAUAAUAUAAAUAUUAAAUUGGGGCUGAUAUGUACCUCUGAAGGGAACUGUCUUCAGAAAAGUUUUGAUGGCUUUUCCUCUUAUCUCCAGCGCGGCGCUGCUUUAGUGGUAACCAUGGAAACGCUAUAUCGCUGCUGUUUCAUAAGCGCCACCUGCUGUCAGAGAGUGAAUUUGCAUUUCAUGUAGGUGUCUUAUGUAGCAUAAUUUCACAAAUCUAAAAUCAGACCAGGCUGUUUUUGCUGUUAAUGUUAAAAUUAUACAAUAAUUUAAAUGAAAAACAACUGAUCAUGCUCAUGUUCAUAACAUCUUUGUUGGGAUUGUGAUAAAAAUACAGUGUUUGCCUCUAAUAUCAAAGAGCUGCACAUAUUUUUUAACAAAUAAACAACAAAUAAAUUUGCUUUAAAAAAAUCUGCAACCAGUAUCAGAAUCGGCCAAUUCGCUUCUAUUGGCCAUGAAAAAUCAAAAUGGGUGCAUCACUUUUUUUCCCACUGUUUGUUGUUUAUAUGGUUAAUAUUAAUGCAGCUAUCAGUGCACUAAGGUUAUAUAUUAGUGUAAACAUAUACUAGGGAUACUAGGGAUACCUUAUACUAGGGAUAGUUCACACAAAAUGAUCAUAUUUUUUCCAAACCUGUAAAAUGUGGUGGUGGAGAUGCAAAAAACUGUUGAGAAACCGUAGGUGAGUCAGCUUUGAAUAUACGCCUUCUCUCAAGAUUAUUGGGUAGAUCAUUUCAUUUCAUUUUCUUUAUAAACAUUCUAAAUGUUACAAAGAAACUUUUGUUAAUAAAACAAUUUAAACCACUGUGUCAAUUUGACUCGAUACACCUAUAAAACAACCUAUAUUAUUAACAAUAUUUUAUUGUUAUUUAAUAUUUUGUUAUCCCUCUGAUGCACAUCUUUACAAAUAAAAAAAAAAUAUAUAAUUUAGGAAAGAUAUAUCAAUAGUAAUUAUAUAUGGAUGUGAUGUUAAAAGAAAUAUUUUCUUAAUUUGUUUAUCAAGAUAUUGAAAUUCUUUACCAACACAUAGGUUAUGUCUAAUAAAUUGGAGAUAUAUAUUUUGUAACUGAUGUUAAAAAUACAAUUGAGUGGAAAACCAAAUCCUGGUGGGUAGAGGUCAUUUUUAUUUACAGGUUGUAAAGUAAAAACAGAACAUCAAGUUAAUAUGGUCCUUUGUGUUAAGUAUUUCAAAGUAUUCCAAAGAAUUUUGAUUAAGUUGCUAAACUUGAGUAAUGUAACGAAAUACGUUACUGAUUACUUUUUAAAGCAUGUAUUUUGUAAUCUGUAGUGAAAUACAUUCUAAAAGUAACCUUCCCAACCCUGUUUAUAAGUAAUGUAGCAAUUCAUUCUUUUAUAUCAUGUACUUUAAACGCGCUUCACUGCGCGCUCAGGUGAUUCAUUCAUCUUCACACGCGCGGCGGUGGGAGGGGUCUCGUACCUGUGGUAGUGGGUGAAUCCACCAUGUUUGUGCGGUUUGUAGCGGACGCGAGCAAAACAAUGGAUUAUUUACCAAGAGAUAUUAAUGUUGUUAAUGCACUAAACUUUGACGAGCAACACUCCGAUCUGCAAACAAAGAGCUGAGGAAGAGGAUGAUGACGGUUCUGCAUUCACAAGGAGAAAGAGCAGUAAAAUCAAGAAGUGUUAUCAUCGCUGAAGAAAAGGCAGAUUUUAAUCCCCAGACACCGAGCAGUGCAAGCCCUGAAGAAAUAACACCAUGAACAUCAUAUUAUACUUCUCUGACUGAACAUGGAGCUGUUGGAGCCAAUGAGAAAGCUGGUGGAAUGUACUUUAAUGAUAAUUUCUAAGUUUACUGAGCGAUGUAAACUGCUGUCAUCCACAUCACAUCAUUGCUCUAACCGACGUUACCAGAAGAAUCCUUUCAGUGUGGCAGAUAUUUACAAGCGUCUGGAGCGAACUUAUGCUGAACUGGAUGAUUGCUGAAGAGUGAGCUUCAACACUUAAGGGUGUGCAUGAUGUCACCAUUCAGUGCUCCUCAGUGUACCUGUGUGAGGAGGACCCACAAUUCUUUAAGACUUGAAAUGAGGCAUUGGGAGAGCCAGACAUCACUGAUUUUUGUCAUUGUGGUCAACGAAAGCACAAGUCCUUCAAGCACUGCAGUUGUGAUAGAAGAUGAUCUUCAGUUUUAGCAUGUUCAGAAGCACUUGUUUACAUAGUCACAGGACUAAUCCUCAAAAAAAUCUUCAAUUGUACAGCUGAAGGUUCUUAUUUUAUUUUUUAGGUUAUGUUGUUGUUGGUUGUUUUUGUCUUUUGUGUUAGUAUUUUUAUGUAAUGAAAUAGGCCUACUGCAGAGGUGACGUUUGUAUAGAUUUAAGUAAUGUUAUGUAUGUAUUAUAAUUUAUAUAAUUAAAAUGUAAGUAAACGUUUUGGCUGGGUAUCAAAUGUAAAUGAAAAUGUAUGAACAGUAUAGUAGAUAUAUAAACGGGGCUGGGCCGUUUUACAGUGCUUGAAUAUUGUUGUCUUUUACUGCAUAUGAU